rnacentral:rRNA from 1 species
UGCAGUCGAACGAUGAUCCCAGCUUGCUGGGGGAUUAGUGGCGAACGGGUGAGUAACACGUGAGUAACCUGCCCUUGACUCUGGGAUAAGCCUGGGAAACUGGGUCUAAUACCGGAUAUGACCAUCUGGCGCAUGUCAUGGUGGUGGAAAGCUUUUGCGGUUUUGGAUGGACUCGCGGCCUAUCAGCUUGUUGGUGGGGUAAUGGCCUACCAAGGCGACGACGGGUAGCCGGCCUGAGAGGGUGACCGGCCACACUGGGACUGAGACACGGCCCAGACUCCUACGGGAGGCAGCAGUGGGGAAUAUUGCACAAUGGGCGAAAGCCUGAUGCAGCGACGCCGCGUGAGGGAUGACGGCCUUCGGGUUGUAAACCUCUUUCAGUAGGGAAGAAGCGAAAGUGACGGUACCUGCAGAAGAAGCGCCGGCUAACUACGUGCCAGCAGCCGCGGUAAUACGUAGGGCGCAAGCGUUAUCCGGAAUUAUUGGGCGUAAAGAGCUCGUAGGCGGUUUGUCGCGUCUGCUGUGAAAGACCGGGGCUCAACUCCGGUUCUGCAGUGGGUACGGGCAGACUAGAGUGCAGUAGGGGAGACUGGAAUUCCUGGUGUAGCGGUGAAAUGCGCAGAUAUCAGGAGGAACACCGAUGGCGAAGGCAGGUCUCUGGGCUGUAACUGACGCUGAGGAGCGAAAGCAUGGGGAGCGAACAGGAUUAGAUACCCUGGUAGUCCAUGCCGUAAACGUUGGGCACUAGGUGUGGGGGACAUUCCACGUUUUCCGCGCCGUAGCUAACGCAUUAAGUGCCCCGCCUGGGGAGUACGGCCGCAAGGCUAAAACUCAAAGGAAUUGACGGGGGCCCGCACAAGCGGCGGAGCAUGCGGAUUAAUUCGAUGCAACGCGAAGAACCUUACCAAGGCUUGACAUG